UAUGUACUCCCUCCGUUCAACAAAAGAUGUCUCAACUUUGACCAAAUUUGAAUGCAUCUAUACACUAAGUCAUGUCUAGAUACAUCCAAAUUUUGACAAACUUGAGACAUCUUUUGUUGGACGGAGGAAGUAUGAG
rnacentral:pre_miRNA from 1 species